GGGGAUGUAGUUCAGUGGGAGAACACCUGCCUUGCAAGCAGGGGGUCGUCGGUUCGAAUCCGUCCAUCUCCA
rnacentral:tRNA from 1 species